rnacentral:rRNA from 1 species
AGAGUUUGAUCAUGGCUCAGGGUGGACGCUGGCGGCAUGGUUAAAGCAUGCAAGUCGAACGAGAACCGGCUUCGGCCGGGGACAGUGGCGAAAGGGCGAGGAAUCCAAUCGUACGUACCCCAAGGUGGGGGAUAGCCUGUGGAAACGCAGUGUAAUACCCCAUGUGCUCUACGGAGGAAAGCUUCGGCGCCUCGGGAGCGGCGAUUGUCCUAUCAGGUUGUUGGUGAGGUAAUGGCUCACCAAGCCUCAGACGGGUAGCGGGUGUGAGAGCAUGACCCGCCGCAUCGGGACUGAGACACUGCCCGGACUCCUACGGGAGGCUGCAGCGACGAAUAUUCCGCAAUGGGCGAAAGCCUGACGGAGCAAUGCCGCGUGUGGGAUGAAGCGUCUUCGACGUGUAAACCACUGUCAGGUCCUAGGAACAAUGACCGGGGCCAGAGGAAGGGCCGGCUAAUUCCGUGCCAGCAGCCGCGGUAACACGGAAGGCCCGAGCGUUACUCGGAAUCACUGGGCUUAAAGAGUGCGUAGGCGGACCGUCAAGCAUCUUGUGAAAUCCCGCGGCUUAACCGCGGAACUGCAGGGUGAACUGACGGUCUUGAGGCGGACAGGGGAAGUCGGAACUGUCGGUGGAGCGGUGAAAUGCGUAGAUAUCGACAGGAACGCCAAUGGAGAAGUCAGACUUCUGGGUCCGUCCUGACGCUGUAGCACGAAAGCGUGGGGAGCAAACAGGAUUAGAUACCCUAGUAGUCC